AAAGUAACAAGGUUUCCGUAGGUGAACCUGCGGAAGGAUCAUUAUUACAAGGCUCCCUGGCCCCCCAAGCUUCGGCGGAAUGGGGCUACAGCCUGACUUAUAUACCCACCCUUUGCCUAUGUGUACCCCUAUUGCUUCCCUCGGCGGGUUCGCCCGCCGACAGGAACCAACUAAACCCUUUGCAUUAUACAUUUAACUCUGAUACAAAACUAAAUUAUUACAACUUUUAACAAUGGAUCUCUUGGUUCUGGCAUCGAUGAAGAACGCAGCGAAAUGCGAUAAGUAGUGUGAAUUGCAGAAUUCAGUGAAUCAUCGAAUCUUUGAACGCACAUUGCGCCCCUCGGUAUUCCGUGGGGCAUGCCUGUUCGAGCGUCAUUUACACCCUCAAGCUCUGCUUGGUGUUGGGCGUCUGUCCCGCCUUCGUGCGCGGACUCGCCUCAAAGUCAUUGGCAGCGGUCUCGUCGGCUUCUCGCGCAGCACAUUUGCGCUUCUCGGAGCCCCGGCGGAUCAGCGUCCAGUAAGCAAUAUCAUGACUGACCUCGAUCAGUAGAUCCCCG
rnacentral:rRNA from 1 species